UUUCUCUUUUUGUACCUCACCACUAUGCUUUUACUGAAGUUUUCUGCUGUCAGCUACCCACAAAGCCAACAUAAAUCAUUCGCUAAACCAUAUGAUGUUUAUAGCUAUUGUACCAAAUUAAGCGCUGGUGUAAGCGCCGUGCAACUCACAGCCAUGGCUGGCUGUAAUCCAUUUUGUCUAGAAAGAAACAUUUGUUAUACUCCCAGUGAUACUUUUAUACUGUUACCUUAGUAAAGACUACUGUUCGUGUAAAUCAGCGCAUUUUCAUUGCCUUCAGAGGAUCUAUACUGACAUAAUUCUUUUUCAUCUUUAUCUGCCAUCAUACUUCUGAUUCUACCCCUAUAUUUUCUGCCUAGUUGCACUGUUCCUGCCUGUGUCAGGCUCUCUAUAUCAAACUCAGAUUGUUUUCUAUAAAGUUUUACAUGUAUGGUGGACAAAAGCAUUGAAUCGGGGUGGAGCUGAGUCCAUCCAGUUCGGCCUCCCAGCUCCAGGAGGACUAUGGAACUAUUUGAGGAAUAAAAUAAUGAGGACAUACCGAGAGAAUUUUUUUUCCUCAGCACAGUUUCUUGAUUUACUGUAAUUAGUGGUGCAGAGGCACCUGGAGUUGAAAGCAACGACCAGUCUACUGUUAAGAGGAAUGAAUUUGUCUAACCUUUCAGAGAACAGAAUGCUGUCAGUGAGAGGUGCAGAAAUCUUUUAUGGGGCAGGCAUGAGCACCAGCCUUUCACUGCUCAAAAAAGUUGUCUCCAAGGUUCACUUUUACAGAAUGAAACUCUAAGAGAGUGAAAACUGUCCUACCUCUUGGAGCUCCAGAAUGAAAGAUGGUGAAAUUAAAUACGCUUGCAUUCAACUUGGAGGUACCUCUAUGACUGCUCCUUAAAGUUUCUUUGGAGCUUCGUCCAGCUGAAAAGACGCAGCAAAAAACAGGCCUGAACUCCAGCCCAGCUUUUAGGAAUUGUAUCAGUAGCUUUUCAUCAGCAACAGGCAAUCAGCGAGGAUGCAGAGUAAUAAGAAAUUAUAAGCCAGAAGGGACCAUCUGAGACAAAGCUUCAUUAAACCUGCUGAAAG
ensembl:lncRNA